rnacentral:piRNA from 1 species
UUUGUGGACAGCUUGUAGUUUGC